CCCAGGGAUACCAUGAUCAUGAAGGUGAUUUUCCCAGGAUGAGGCUCAUCCAUUGCACUGCGGUUGUGCUGACCCCUGCGAUUUCCCCAAAUGAGGGAUCUAUAGUGGG
rnacentral:snRNA from 13 species